rnacentral:misc_RNA from 1 species
CUAAAGCUUUCUAAAUCUAUGCAGAAAAUACCACAGCAUUUUCAAUUAUCUCACAACAACACCAAAUUUAAUCACAAUUUAACGAAAUUAUUGGAUUCUCCUUAUAAAUUGUGCCAACAUUUACAUAGAAUCAGAAUCUAAAUAUAGAUUUUAUAAAACCGUAGAAAAUUACUAUAAAUUUACAAAUCAUAAGAACUGAAAAUCUGGAAAACAAUAGCAUAUUUCAAAGAGGCUCAAAAAUAAG